UACGUAGGUGGCAAGCGUUGUCCGGAUUUAUUGGGUUUAAAGGGUGCGUAGGCGGCCCUGUAAGUCAGUGCUGAAAUACCCCGGCUUAACCGGGGGGGCGGCAUUGAUACUGCAGGGCUUGAGUACAGAUGAGGUAGGCGGAAUUGACGGUGUAGCGGUGAAAUGCAUAGAUAUCGUCAAGAACACCGAUAGCGAAGGCAGGUUACGGGGCUGU
rnacentral:rRNA from 1 species